rnacentral:rRNA from 1 species
AUUGAACGCUGGCGGCAGGCCUAACACAUGCAAGUCGAGGGGUAUAGUUCUUCGGAGCUAGAGACCGGCGCACGGGUGCGUAACGCGUAUGCAAUCUACCUUUUGCAGAGGGAUAGCCCAGAGAAAUUUGGAUUAAUACCUCAUAGUAUGUGAGAAUGGCAUCAUUUUCACAUUAAAGUCACAACGGCAAAAGAUGAGCAUGCGUACCAUUAGCUUGUUGGUAAGGUAACGGCUUACCAAGGCAACGAUGGGUGGGGGUCCUGAGAGGGAGAGCCCCCACACUGGUACUGGAACACGGCCCAGACUCCUAACGUGGGCAGCAGUGAGGAAUAUGGGACAAUGGGCGCAAGCCUGAUCCAGCCAAGCCUCGUGCAGGAUGACGGUCCUAUGGAUUGUAAACUGCUUUUGUACAGGAAGAAACACUGGUUCGUGAACCAGCUUGACGGUACUGUAAGAAUAAGGAUCGGCUAACUCCGUGCCAGCAGCCGCGGUAACAC